AACGUAGGUGGCGAGCGUUAUCCGGAUUUACUGGGCGUAAAGCGUGUGCAGGCGGGGGGUCAAGUGGGGUGUGAAAUCGCCCAGCUUAACUGGGCAGGGUUAUGCCAGACUGUACUUCUAGAGUGCGAGAGAGGGGCGUGGAAUUCCGGGUGUAGUGGUGAAAUGCGUAGAGAUCCGGAGGAACCCCAGAGGCGAAGGCGGCGCCCUGGCUCGCAACUGACGCUCAGACACGACAGCAUGGGAAGCGAACGGG
rnacentral:rRNA from 1 species